UGUGUCACCCAAAAAGAUUCAUUGAAAUCCAAAGCCUCAUUCUGUGAAUGUGAACUUACUUGAAAGUAUGGUCUUUUCAAAUAUAGUCUGGUCAAAAUGAGGUCACAUUAGUUUAGGGUGGACCCUAAUCCAAUAUGACUGGUGUCCUUCUAGGAAGAGAAGAGACACAGGGGGAAAACACCCAUGUGAUAACAGAGGUAGAGAUUGAAGAGGUGCAGCUGGCAAGCUAAGGAAAGUCAAGGAUUGCUGGGAAGCUACCAGAACUUGGAAGAGGCAAGGGAAAAUUCAUUCUCCUCUACAGACUGCAGAGGGAGCACAGGCUUGCCUGCAGCUUGAUUUCACACUUCUAAUCUCCAGAUUUGUGAGACAAUAAAUUGCUGUCCAUUGUUCAUGAUACUUUGUUACAGCAGCCCUAGGAAAGUAGUAUGUGGUGAAAAGGUAGAGAUGUUGGUGCCUGUCAAUCAUUUGCCAUAUCAGACCUGGGACAAUUUGAUUUUAUGGUAUUAUUCUCCUACCUCAAAGAACUGCAUGGCUGAUAUUAAUAUAUUUUAAAUUAUAGUGAAGUAAGAGUAAUCCUGUUUUUAAAAAUUUGUUCACACUUCUUGAGACAUCUUUGGGCAUCCUUCCUCUAAAUCGAGACCACUAAACGUUUCCAUUCCUGAAUUCACCAAGAUGUCACAUUUUUUAACGUGCUGCAUUCUCAUCAGUUCUGGAAAAUUCUCACCGUUCUUUUAAUAUGGGUUAUCUUCUUACAGGCAUUCUCCAUUGUAACAAUAAUGUUGCAUAACAAACAUCGACAAAACUUGUGUUUUGAUUAGCGAUGAACGUUAAUUUAAAUGAUGGGCUGUGGGAUUCAUCUGAUCUGGGUUAAGGUUGAUUGAUUUGGUCAGGCUGCUCAUGCUUAUGUGAUCAGCUGUGGAUUAUCUAGGCAUCUUUGUUUAUCUUGGCUAGGUUUACUCCCAUACUUGGGAUCUGCACUUUGCCACCUGAUCUAGGUUGUCUUCAGUUGGGAUGGCUGGUAACUUGGCUCUGUGUCAUAUUGUUCAUCUUCCAGGAUGCCGGUCAUGCAUGUUCUCUUGGCAUGCACAGAGCUCAGGAGAUAAGCAGGAAGUGUAAGGACUUCUCAAGUCUUUGCUCAUGUUAUAUCUGCUAACAACCCAUUGGCUAAAUCAAACCAUAUGGCUUACCUCGGAAUUGAAAGAGUUCUGGAUAACUGAACAAUGAACUUAACUGAACAAGGAGUCCAUGAAUUCCUCAUCCACCAUGAUAUGUUCUCCUUAAAUGACCAACUUAAAGAAUUUCUUCACUCCUGUGUGCACUCUUGUCCUUUGUCUGGUAUGGAGAGUGUCAUUGUUGACAAGGUGUCACAGCAGCACCAACAUUUUGCUGACCAGCCAGAUGGGUUUUGACAGCUUCACUGAAAAAGGACACAGUGUGAUCGAGAUACCAAUAUUAAGAGUGAAUACAAAACAUAAGAAGUGACAAAAGCUCACCUAAGACCUAUAAUAAAUGAUUCUGGAGCCAUAUUAAGUUCCAUCUUUAAAUUCUACUUCCAGAAAGAUCUCUUGACGCUGAUACUGGUGGUCUAUCAGAACCACUCCAAGGAAGCCUGCUGCAAGUAUUGAUUUCAAGGCCUAGCCCCCGGAGAUUCUGCAGGAAGUCUGAGGUGCACCUGGGCACCUGUAAUUGUUUAAGAAGCUCCAUAGGUGGUUCAGACACACAGCUAGGUUUUAAAACCAUGCCUGAUGACCUCAAGCAGUUUUGACUCAGAGAUGCAGUCAUAUAUCUUGAAAUGUUAGGCCUCUCUGCUAAAAUGUCCUUCUGUUCUCUACUUCUGAUUUAAAGACAGAGGAAGAUUUAUUUUUCUUUCUUUAUCUACUCCGUUGGCAAUAACACAAUAGUAUUGGAGUCUUUAAAACCGGUCUCAUCUGGCUUUGCUUCCUAUGGGAGGAAGAAAUAAGUGAUUUAUCAUUUUGGAAAACAUAAAUUGAAAUUCUAGGGCCAGCAUGGCAUCAGAGAGUCCCAUGAGAACCUUUCCCUUUAGGCAAGACAGAACACCAGAAUUUCUAAAUCUACUUUCAUUCCCUCUGAGUGCCCCAGCUCGUCCUACCUCGUCUUCAGGAAGUACAGAAGUUAGAAACAACAAGGAUAUUUGGUGUUUAAAGCUCUUGAAAAUAUUUGCC